rnacentral:rRNA from 2 species
GUUUAUGGCCAUACCAGCCUGAACAUGCCCAAUCUUACCUGAUUUCGGAAGCUAGGCAGGGUAAGGCGUGGUAGGCUUUAAAAA